UUACGGCCAUAUCACAUAGAAACAACGGUUUUCGUACGAUCACCAAAGUUAAGCAACGCCGAGCCUGGUCAGUACCUAGAUGUGGGACAGCUUGGGAAUACUGGGAACUGUAAG